rnacentral:rRNA from 1 species
GAUGAACGCUAGCUACAGGCUUAACACGUGCAAGUCGAGGGGAAACGCCAUCGAAAGCUUGCUUUUGAUGGGCGUCGACCGGCGCACGGGUGAGUAACGCGUAUCCAACCUGCCCAUUACUUGGGAAUAACCUUGCGAAAGUAAGACUAAUACCCAAUGACAUCCCAUGAAGACAUCUGAAUGUGAUUACAGAUUUAUCGGUGAUGGAUGGUGAUGCGUCUGAUUAGCUUGUUGGCGAGGUAACGGCCCACCAAGGCAACGAUCAGUAGGGGUUCUGAGAGGAAGGUCCCCGAGAUUGGAACUGAGACACGUGCCACACAGCUACGGGACGGAGCAGUAAGGAAGAUAGGUGAAGGGAAGAGAGCCUGAACCGGCCAAGUAGCGUGCAGGAUGGCGGCGCUAGGGGUGGUAAACUGCUUUUAGAAAAGAAUAAAGUGGGUGUCAUGAGACUUUUUGAAGGUACCUGAUGAAUAAGGACCGGCUAAUUCCGUG